AUGGCGUCACUGCGGCUCUGCGCUCGCUCUCCACUCGCUCGCCUCUUAUCCCCAGCCUGCUUGCAUGCUAUUAUCCUUAGCAAGCUGAACGAAGACCACAUUGCUGUCUCUUUUUCUCUUCUUUCUCAACAUUAUUAGCAUUGCUUUUUCAGCUGUCCCUCGCUCUCUUUUUUUCAGCUUUGCACCACAUUAGUGGCGCUGGUGUUUGGAAAAUUGCUGUCUGAUCUGCGGUGUCUGGAAUGUUGGGUGUUAGGUUGAUGAGUUGAAAAGCUGUCGUUUUUGAGCUUUUGCUCGUGUUAAACGCCGGGACAAAAAUGCACAUAAACAUACUGAUGUGUUUUGGGAUUUUACAGUAACCUUUACAACACAUCCACAGCUAUUAAAAGAAUGCCAGGGUGGUGCAUUUGUAGCUUUGUUCUUGAUGAAGUGAGUCAAAAAGGGGCCGUGUCAGAGAUGGACAGAGCUGGGAAUAAACGGGAAUGUGUGUGGUCCCUGUUGCAGACUCUUACAUCAGACUGGCAUUUGUGUACAGUGCACAUCUCUCCUGCUCUCCCUCUGUCUUUUUACAAAUCCUAUCCCUAAAUAUACUCCUCUGGAAAAACCCCUCGAGAAGAUACCGCCCUCUUCCACGCAACAUGCUAAAAAUAUCCUCCAAGACCACCUUUCCAGCCCCCUUCUCGGUGUGGUUUUCUGUCAGACCAGUCUCCUGUCGUUUUGAUUGCUGACCCUCUCAUUUGUUCCUUUCUAGCACUCAACACCAGUUCAUUAUCUCACACUAUCCCAAACUGUCUGGUGUGUUUAGCCCCUACUUUGAACUCCCCCCAUCUGGCCUCGAUCUGUCUGAUAGAGGUGCCCCCUGCUGUCCCCAGAGGCUUCUUGCUCUUUCUGCUGACAUAAACAACUACUCAUCCGUACCGCCCAUGCAUCCAUCCAGGCAGCGGAGCAGACUUCCAGCUAAACCAGUCCGUUGACCUUCAGGCCAGCCAGAUGUUAAAACAGGGUCUGUCUGGGGGAGAAACCUGGUGAACAGAUGCGUUCCCAGAAAACAAAAACCGAACAUUGGAGGAUCUUCCUCAUGUCGAGACAAUGAAAUGUUCACAUUCGGAUGACAAGGAGGACGUUACAGUUGUCCGUAAAGGUUGGACUUGUUUUAACAAAUGGUCCGUACUAUUCAUGUUGGAUUUCAGUCAUGGUGAGUUUCUACAGCCUGAUACAGCAAAGCAGCACCGGACCAUGACGCCGCCACCUCCAUCAUGGCUGAUAUGAGGAAAUGGUAGUAGGAGGCUCUGCAAAGCAUGUCCUGAGAGGGGAAUGUGUAAAGAAUAUCCGGUCAGUGCAACUGUGGGAUAUAAAACUGAAGCUAUUUAAAAAAAAGCAAAAAUAUUAAAAAGCUCUUUGAGUUAACACUUUUUUUUGCUACUUUUCUUUUUAUUGUUUCACUCUUACAUGAAAAUGCUUUACGUGUUCAUGACCCCUUUCAAAUGAGCAGAGAUUCAAUUGUUGUAACCUCCUCAGAAAUUGCUCCAAUCAGUCGAAUGAAAGUGCCGCCACUGAUGCUCAACCAUUUCCAGCUCCACCUGGUCACCUCCAGGUGGUUAAAUUUAUGUUAUAAAUGUAAAUAUCUUGAUCCCGUAGCUGAAAAUGUCUACAAUAAAAGAAAAAAAUAUAUCAGAACGGUGCUAAAACGUUGCAUAUCGCAUUUGUUGUCUUAACUUGCCCUUUUCAGUGGGAGGCAGGUAUUGAGUAAAGAGUAGUUUAGCUUGCAAAAUGUUUUACUGCCAGGCAACACUUUUUAUGUGUACAUAAAAAAUUAUAUUGCGCAUUCUUAAUGUGAAAACCCUUCUGUUAAAAACGAUUGGAUUGCAGCAUGUUCCUCUAAAGCCUGACUAAAUAUAGGAAUAUACUGGAUUCUCCUCUCAGUAAAACCACGCAACAUACAGUGACUUCUCAGGGCUGGCAUCACUGCUCCUCUACUUUGUUUAGAUUAUCACAUUAACUUAAUUGGUGAGUUAUGAGCUCCACACAGCAGCCUCAGUCAAGAAUGUGAACAGAAACAACAGCAAAAAAGGAACUUGCUUCAGAACAGGAAGGAGAAACAACAACAGAAUAAUUCUUGAGAAUCCAGACAAAGAGAAGAUGACUUAAUGCUCUAUUUAUGUCUGGGAAAAGUAAGAAAAAACAGAUUACUGUAUUUGUUCAACUGCAGUUUCUGCCCAGCGAGGCAGGAAGCCUAUCUUUGACCACAUGACAUUUCUGUUCCUGUAUUCGACGGCUGACAUCAUCUUCGGUGACACACUGCUCAGUGACUUCCUCCGUCCCGUUAAUCACUCGGCCGCUAACAGGCAACGCACACUCUUCUCGAUUCCUGAACCGCUUUUACAGCUCCGCACCACAUUCCACCCUCCCUCGUUAGCUCCUCGGCCCCAGCAUCAGCCGUGGAGGCAUAUUUUCCCCAGUUGGUCUCCCCACUUAUAGGAGGGACCUCUGACUCCUUUUGUCGUCCCUGUAAAGCCUAAAAAUAACUCUAUGCUAUGCUUUUCCACCUGCUGCUCUUGGUUGUGGAGAAGGGGCAUCAUACAUGGAGACUGUUGUUUAUAUUGCUUUGUUAGGGACAGCAGAGUAAAUGGGGUUGAAUACGCAUGUAUAAUCUCACACCCUGCCAACUUUUUCUGUUUUUCUGUCUUUAUAAUAAUUGCUGUCAGCU